AAAAAGGUCAGCUAAAUAAACGUAAAGCUAAUGGGUUCAUACCCCGUAAAUAGGAUUGUCCUCCUUUUUA
rnacentral:tRNA from 1 species